rnacentral:lncRNA from 1 species
GUCAAGUUUUAGGGUGAUUGUGGGAAAUUGAAGCUCACUGUUUAAACCACUUUGAAGCCGGUAUUCAAAUAUUGGUAAGUUUUGACUUUCAGCUGUUUUCCCAUCUGGGUUUCUCUUCUGUCAAUUUGGUACUGUGGACCUUGGAGACUUUGAUUGAAUAUUGCAGUGAUGGCAAGAAAUUGAACUCAGCAUGUUUAGAGCACUUCAAAAAUACUUGAUCUCAAAUAUCAGUGGGCUUUGAACUUUCUGUUCUUUUACUAUCUGGGUAGCUCUCCAUCAAUUUGAUGAAAAUUGACUAUAUUGGUGAACUCUCGUGAAGUUGUAAUUUCAUUUUUCUGGUGUUCUCUUGAUUUCGUCUGGCCCUGCCGCAACUUAGUGGAUCUAGAGAUGCUUGCACUGUAUAUUAGUUUUCAAAGAUGGAAUUUAGUAACAUUAUCUUCUUGAGAAUGGCUGCAGUUGUGUUCAGUCUUUUGCUGUUAGUGCAAUUGCCAAGAAUCCUUGCCUCUGACUUGGGAAUACAGUCAAAAGUUUGCGGUACUGAUCAUGUUGCCUAUUUGAAUUCCCAUGGCUAUGAAUUGUUUUACAUAAAUGGGGAUGUAGUAGAUAAAGAUGUGUUCUGUAAGGCCCUGAAAGUCUACUAUGCAAAUAAUUGCGUCUUUGAAGGACAUCCUGGAAGUAACUACUGUGGAUUGAAUCUUCCAUUAGGUAUGUGCUAUAUUAAAUUGUUGAUUUGGGGUGGGUUUCUGAUUCAUUCUAAGAAAAUAUUCAUCUUUUCUUUGUGGCAGUUGAGUUGCCUGCAAACGCAGGAAGAAAAUUUUUGAGAAGGCUGAUUCAGGAAGAGUCCACAAUAGAUAAUCUGAACAAUCAUGAGAGAGAAACCAAGCAUCGCAAAUCUGCCUCAUCUCCUAAGGUGAUAGCCAUGGCAGUACCUGGAAUUUUAGUUCUGUGCUGCAGUUUACUUUGUCCUUGCUUCCGUGCAAAAAGAAAAGAAACUGAUCAUGCUGUUCUUUCCAAGGAACCAAUUUCAAGUAAGUUGGAAACUUCUUAUGCUUGGAGUUUUCAAUUUUGUGAUUGGAAAUCCUGCCAACACUUGUGAUUGGAAAUCCUGCCAACACUUGUGAUAUAGGAUUUUCUUAACAACGUAACUAGAAAAUUUAUCAAUGUUAAUGUCAGCUUUGCCUGUGCAUUUGCACAUUUUUAGGGUUGGAUUAGGUAAAUCCAAAGGCAGAAAUCAGUUCUGCUGAACUCUUUUCUCAUUAUUGUAGCAGUGAAAUGAUUUUUGCUAACUUUUCAAUUUCCCAAUCAUUGAUCAUUGCUAGAAAUUUUACCUAAACUGGCACAUUACACUUUGGUUCAUUAUUUCUUGAAGCUAGUCAAUGAAUUAGUGGUUGUGUUCUUGCAGCAGAUUCAAUUUCCUCUUUUGAAGUGAUCUCUGCUCCUGAAAAGGUCCCGGCCAGUCCGUUACGAGUGCCACCAAGUCCUUCCCGUUUCUCUAUUUCCCCAAAACCCAAUAAAAUUGAAUCAGUGCAUCUCAAUAUGAAUCAGAUUGCUAGAGCAACCAACAAUUUCUCACCCUCACUAAAGAUAGGUGAAGGAGGCUUUGGAACUGUCUACAAGGCCCAGUUACAAGAUGGCCAAGUGGUUGCCAUAAAACGAGCAAAGAAGGUAAGCAAGAGUUUCUUAGACCCUUUCUCCAGCCAAGGACUGGAAUUGCUCUGCCUUGAUAGACAGUGCCUAUUAAAAUAUGUACACCGAAGGUCAUUUUGCAUAUAAUUUAAAACCAACAUUCUAGUUAUAAGGUUUUUAAUUUGCUCAUCUAUGAUUACCCUAGGUUAGUAGAAAUAAAGUCACUGUAGGCAACACAUGAUAACCGUAAAAGAACUGUAUGCUUCCUUGUGUCUUCGGAUCAAAGCUAUUUGGGUAACAUAUUGAUUUGUCCUUAUUAUUUGAGCUUCUGUUUGUACAUGAUCAUGGAGAGCUUUUACUAAGUACUCUCAAUAUGUUCUUGCCAUAAUAUUUCUUUACAGGAGGAUGGACAUAUUGUAUUUCCCUGAUCAUUGAUGCUUCAUAUCUAUGUAAUGAUGAAACUAGUAAUAGAUGUACAGUAGCUCUGAACAAGAAAAAGCAUAAACAAGACUUUUUCUGAGUGUCUGAACCAGCCUUGGACAUGUGCAGAUGUGCAAACAGAUGUCUAAAAUCUAGUCAUGGAUAAGGAAAAGUGGUCUACAUAUUAUUGCUAGUUAGCAGUAACCCGAAGUUAUACAACGCCAUUGAGAAUUCAACUAAUGCUCCAUCAUUUUUCUUGCACAUUGUUAUUGCUAGCCUUCAAAGGAGGUGUUUUCUGACCAGAACAUUUGUUGAAAGUUUUGAGUUAGAAAAAAAAAAGGGGUUUCUGUGGCGGUAAACAAGAUUGCCAAAAUGUGAUUAUUAAGACAACAAAUUUUAAUGUAGCCACCACUAAAAUUUGCUCCAUGGUAGGUUUCAGAAAUGGCUUAAACAUUGAUAUAAAAUAAGGCUACUAAAAUAAUAAUAGAUUGAUAUUCUGACAUAUUUCACAAAAUUCCAACUCCCAUGUCUUAUUCGUAAUUUAUGAAUUUUCUUUUCAUGUCCAUUUUCUUUUCACCAUUGACUAUGAAUGUAUGUGUGGCUUGUAAAAAAAAAUCAAAUUUACAUUCCAAGUAGUUUGGUUGUAUGCAAAUGUUUUCCUUGUACAAUGUCUCCCUCUAAGUCGAAUAAUGUUCCGAUGUUAACAUAAAAGAAUACUGUAUAGGAACUCUUUGAGAAUCUAAAGACUGAAUUCAGAAGUGAAGUUGAACUCUUGGCCAAAAUUGAUCACCGAAAUCUUGUGAAGCUGCUUGGCUACGUUGAUAAAGGAAAUGAGCGCCUUAUUAUUACUGAAUUUGUGCCAAAUGGUACUCUUAGAGAACAUCUGGAUGGUAAGACUAUUUAUCUAUAAGAUUGAUUAAUAUCCUAAUUCAUACAGCAAUGUCAGUGUUCAUAGUUGGCUACUACUUCUGGCAGGUCAGCGGGGGAAAAUCCUGGAUUUCAAUCAACGACUUGAAAUCUCCAUUGAUGUUGCUCAUGCCCUGACUUACCUCCAUCUAUAUGCAGGUGAGAGAACUGUUUGUUUAGUUAAUCUGUUCCUUAAAUUGUUAUAGAAAACUUCAUUUGUACAUCAUCGAAACUCUAAUUCAUAGCUUGAAAAUACAGGAAGAGGACUAGGAUUUAUUUGGGGUUGGAAUGUUUGCCUUAGAAUUCCAAAUUUCCUUUUUAUUUUUCCUCAUUCUUCUCCAUAAACAAGCAAAGAGAACAAGAGUUCACAAACAGAUUUUAUUUGAUGCCUUCAAGAUGCGGAUGUCCUUGGCUUGUACCUUACUCAUAUUAGCUCAGAAGGAAAAAAUUCAGUGAUGAAAAUAAUUCAGUUUCUUAACCAUGACUAUUUGGAUGAUAAACAGAGCCUUAUUCCACGCCUUACACAAGAAGUCAUAUUGGCCUAUUCCAGCCUGUUGAAAAUUACAUUUCCAUCAAAGCACACCCCACUUUGCCAACCCAAAACAUCUGUAGGUCUUUUUCAUCAAUUCCGUCCUUUUUAUUUGUUUCUUUCCCUUUUUCCUUCUUUCUUCCCCACCCCACCCCCUCCCUCCUCUCUCUGUCUUUCUCCUUGUUUUUUUGUCUUUUUUCUUUUUUCUUUUUAUUUUCCCCUCCCCUUAUUUAGCACCUUCCUACCAUUUUAUCUUCAGUAGUGCCAUUUUGUGACCAAUUGAGACUAGAAACAUCAAGGCAUCUCAUCUUAAAGAGCAAUUAAUUUGUCAAAUUCUGAUUCAAAGCUGUUACAUGAUGUAAGCUUGCUGCAAUUGUGACUUUCUUGUCCCACUGUCAAUUGUCUUUAUGUUAACUGCUAUUGCCAUGUAAUCUAUGUUUCAUACUUGCUAGAAUUCCUUUCUUCCCCUUAUCUAAUUAUUUUUCUUGUCACUGUUUUAUAGUUUUUAAAAGCUCAUAAGCAUCAUUUAGAUGUCUUUUCAUACACUUAAUUGUCUUCUAAAAUUGUCUAAGUAAAAAAGAUAAGCUCAGCACUAAACUUCCCCCAGAAGGAAGUCAAAUUUGUUGUGCAUUGUGCUGCAUGUCUGUGAAAAUGAAACUAAGACUUACAUUGGUUAUAAAUUUGAUUUUUGAGCCACUUGAUGCCUAUUAUUUUGUUACCUUACAGAGAAGCAAAUUAUCCAUCGAGAUGUGAAGUCAUCCAACAUUCUUCUGACGGAGGGCUUUAGAGCUAAAGUGGCUGAUUUUGGAUUUGCAAGGCUUGGUCCAGUAGACGCUGAGCAAACACAUAUUUCAACCAAAGUGAAAGGGACAGUUGGUUACCUUGAUCCUGAGUACAUGAGGACCUAUCAACUCACCCCCAAGAGCGAUGUGUACUCAUUUGGGAUUUUGCUAAUAGAAAUUCUGACUGGGCGCCGGCCUGUGGAAUUAAGGAAAUCUACCGACGAGAAAGUGACACUUAGAUGGGUAAGUUUAAAUUCCUUAUCUUCACAAGUUAUUGAUUUUGUGGUCGUCAUGUUUGCUUACAUUCAACCUCUACCAUUGUUACAUAACAAGACAACGAUGCCCCUACCAUAACAUUAUUGGGCUAGAUUCAACCCAAGUUACAGAACUGAUUGGCCUAGCAAGGUUAACCCCUCAUUUUCAACCAAUGCUCCAAAUCAGAGUCCACACAUACCCCAACCUAAUCCAUUGGACUGGACUGGAAUGACCCAAGCUUGGUAAUCUGAGAUGUUGAUAUAAAAUAUUCAAAGCUUUACAAUUUUUAUCAUCUGAUAUUAGAUGUUUCUAACUUGAAACUGUUUUAUUCCUAUGAAAACUAAAACCAUCCCUAUUUGCAAGUAUAUCAGUUCAUAUGUGUUGGGUUGUGAGUUUUGCUCUCAAACUGGGUGAGAACUAUCAUUGCCAUUCCAAAUUGAGCCCAUUCAACCUAUCCUUGAUCCAUGGUGCUCUAUGGGUAAUCCACCAAAAAUAUGCUAUCUUGUUGCCGGGUUAGAGAAGUCAGCUUUUAGUAACUUGUUUUUAUUCAAUGAUGUGUUCCCUGCCAACAAGGGCGACUGCUAGUCUAUUUCAGUACUCUCAGAUUAUGUUUUGUUAUUGUGCAGGCCUUCAAAAAGUACAAUGAAGGAAAUGUAGUGGAAUUGGGGGAUCCUUUAAUGGAGGAGGUGGUAGACACAGAGAUACUUAAUAAAAUGUUUGGUUUGGCAAUCCAGUGUGCAGCACCCAUAAGAUCUGAUCGGCCGGACAUGAAAUCGGUGGGAGAGCAGUUGUGGGGUAUAAGGAUGGACUAUGUUAGGAGUGUAAGGAGGGGCUAGUAGCAAAGUGCAUUUUAGAGUGACCUGGCCUUUCUCAUAUUCGUUUACCUUUCUUCUCUUAUUCUUUUUCCUGUUUAGGUAUGUAAAACGAAAGCUGGUCUCAAAACAAAACCUACUCCCACUUUGGCCUUUUCCCUGCCACCUCAUUUUUCAUUCUUAAAAAGGGAUUUCUGUA